AACAGAAUUAAUCGUAAAAAUCGCCCAGCACUAAAUACAGUUACAUAAAAUCAGGUAGUUACAAGAAAUGUGUUGGUCUGACACCAACUGAUUAAUGUGGUCGCAAGCACAGCAGACAAGAAAAUACCUGUAUGUCCAUUCAGGGUUAAAUUUUAUAUGCUCGAGAUCCACUUUUCUUUGUUUACUCGUAUUGGUUUGGACAAACAUGGUACCGCUGAAGUAACUUGUAUUUACAUCAUUUACUUUUCAGUCGCAAGUUCAUGGAAUUACCCGGUGAAUUUAAAGUGACAGCAUCAUUUAUUUAAAAAUGCAUCAGCACUUCAUUUGGCGGGCCGGAUCGAGAGUUUUGCCGGGCCGGAUCUGGCCCGCGGGACGUAUGUUGUGCACCCCUGAUCUACAGGAUCAUAUCAGGGCACAGAUCUGGAGAAGGGGACAGAAAAAAUGCUGCAACUUUACAGAUGGACAAACUUCAGGAGUUCAGAGAUCCAACAAUAAACUGGAUCAUCUGAUUCUGAUUGUGGGAUGCAGGACUUCUUACUUUGCUCUUUACAGCAGAACACACACAAGCAGACGAUGUUCAUCAGUACAGAAACUGAUGUGAUUAUAAUGAUGAUCCAGUAGAAACCAGGACCUGAAGACGUUUUAAGAUCAGGAGGCUCAGUCUUGUUUUCAGAUGUUUGAUUUUGAUGAUCUGAAAUAUAAACAGGAAGUGAAACAGUGCUGAGGAAAAUCUGUGGUUCUGUACAAUAAACAGUGAAACACUUCAGAACAA